rnacentral:misc_RNA from 1 species
CGUAGGUGAACCUGCGGAAGGAUCAUUCAUAAUAAGUGUUUUAUGGCACUUUUUUAAAUCCAUAUCCACCUUGUGUGCAAUGUCAGGGUUGAUUUUUCUCUCGAGAGGAUCAGCCCCAAACAUCAACUAUAUCUCAACUCUUUGUCUGAAAAAUAUUAUGAAUAAAACAAUUCAAAAUACAACUUUCAACAACGGAUCUCUUGGCUCUC